UGGCGUGCUCGAACGUGUUCGGACGUUUUGCCCGAACGGGAAAUUUUUUUAAGUACUGCGACUGAUACUGUCUGCAUUAAUAGUAAUUGCCAUUGAGACCUCGCUGCGCAACAGUAUACCAGACUUAGCAAUAAAACAGUGGAAAUUGCUGGCCGUAUAAUUGUCCUCGUACACUCGCCGACAGAAAGGUUGUCCCAAAGUAACGUGUUACAUCGAGGUUAGAAACCAAGAGUUUGAAUAAAAAAUAAAGAUGGUAAAAGUGUGUGAGGUAUUUGGGUGUACAACAACCGAAAAAGAAAGACUAUCUAUGCAUAAAUUUCCUAAGAAUGUGGGACAUCGAAAUGCGUGGGUAGCUUGGAUUAACCGUCCCGGGUGGAGUCUGAAAUGUAAUAGCAGAGUUUGUGAGUUGCACUUUGUUCCUGAGGACUAUGUGGAGCACACAAGAGGAAAUGAAAUUCUUCGAAGGCUGAAAACAUCUGCUAUUCCCUCAUUGCAAAUAGAGGAAAUUCAAGACAGUGAAAAUCAUUGUAAUCCAAAAAUUAUACGAAGAUUUCGACAAACCGCACAAUGUUUGAAGGAUAUAACAAAUAUCCCUAUUAUAGGUAAAGAAAAAUAUAUAUCGUGCAAUUUUAUUUUCUCUUAUAAGUU